CCUACGGGUGGCAGCAGUGGGGAAUUUUGCACAAUGGGGGAAACCCUGAUGCAGCGACGCCGCGUGAGUGAAGAAGUAUUUCGGUAUGUAAAGCUCUGUCAGCAGGGAAGAAAAUGACGGUACCUGACCAAGAAGCUCCGGCUAACUACGUGCCAGCAGCCGCGGUAAUACGUAGGGGGAAAGCGUUCUCCGGAUGUACUGGGUGGAAAGGGAGCGUAGACGGCAGGGCAAGUCUUGAGUGAAAGGCGGGGGCUCAACCCCCGGACUGCUCUGGAAACUGCCAGGCUUGAGUGCAGGAGAGGUAAGUGGAAUUCCUAGUGUAGCGGUGAAAUGCGUAGAUAUUAGGAGGAACACCAGUGGCGAAGGCGGCUUACUGGACUGUAACUGACGUUGAGGCUCGAAAGCGUGGGGAGCAAACAGGAUUAGAUACCCCAGUAGUC
rnacentral:rRNA from 1 species